CGCCUCUCCCCGGAACCUGCGACCUGUUGGUAUUCAGUCCUGCCGGCACAGGGGUUUAACCCACUGCGCUGUCAGCCUUUGGGCUGAAAAGGGCGGAAUAAAAGUAUGGGUUUUACAGAGUAAUGCACUGAUGAUGAGCCAACAUUCAUCAAAUGGAGGAGUGUAACAGCACUAGAAAUUUGGAAGAGCAGCCCCCAACUAUCGACAAUGAGCACGUGAUAACAUCAGAAGAAGCAGAACCAACUCCUCCUUCUGGCAGCCAGGGAACAGCCAUUGAAUACCCAGCCUUAGAUUCUUCUUUGCUACCACAAGUUUCCAUAGGUGCAAACCCUACAAGUGAGAGAGCACAAUAUUCUGCAAGAGGGGAACCAGCUAUACAUGUCCCCCCACCCGUUCAAAAUUCAACACUUGCCACUUGCCGGCAGAUUUUUGGUCUCCUUGGCCAGAUCACUGUACAGCAGGAUGGCAUCUUGAGAGAACUACGGGCGAUGCGCAGAGAGAUGCGGUUCAUGAAAGGUGAACAACGUCGGACCAAUGCCAGGAUGAUUUCGAUGGCACAUGACCUUGAAGAACUCAAGGAACAUUUUCUGUAGGAGUAGGGGGUUAAGUCAUUGCUUUCCACCAUGGAUGUAGCUUCUGCCAACUGUUCAGAAACUUUGAGUGCAUUUGCUUCUUCAUGGAUGUUCAUUCAUGUUUAGUAAACCACUUGCUGCAUAAAUUGUUCACUGAUGCUGCAUUUUAGCGGGACACUGAACAUUCAGACUCAAUGUUCUAUGACUCAGUAAUACA